rnacentral:piRNA from 1 species
UGGACUAGUUUAGAGAGGACCAAACUG